rnacentral:lncRNA from 1 species
AAAAAUUAAUAAAAAUAUAUGCAUAAUAUUAUUUGAACCUAUACUAAUUAGAUUAAACUACAAAUUUACCCCACAACCAAACUUUAUUUGAGAGUAGUUUACAUUUCUGGUUAUUUCAACUAAAGAAGAAAUAGAAAAACAUAACGAAGAAAAUGAAAGAGAAUAUUAAUUUAUAUUAUAUAUUUUUUCUUAUUAUUUUUCCGAAGGAAUUACAUUAUUAUUCGUAUCUCGUGGAGCUGAAUGAUCGGCUUCGGGUAAAAGAUUUCCUUUAGAGUCAUAUAAAAUCUUCCCUGAAAAAUCCAACGGACGACACCGUUCUCCCAUUAUGAUUGUCUUCCUCCAUACAGCUUCAUCACUUACACUAUAUAACCUCCUCCUUCGUCCUCAGCCUGCACUUUUCUCCAAGAAACCAGCUUCACCAUCAGCUGAGCUUUAUUUCCAAGGUAGCUAUUUAUCUUCGACAGCAGCUUCCUUUCACUUGAGAUGUUGCUUUCUUCCUUCUUUUCGAAUCCCCUCUUCUUGUUUGAUGCACAAAGGAAUGUUAUGUGAUUGAUACUACACACAAAACUACUAAAAUAAGAAAUGCUAUGGCUGAAUAUGAAGGGUUUUCAAUGGGAAGGCUUGGCCUUAAGAUAAGAAGACAUCUUGCCAUCGAAGAAACAAUUCUCUUUAGCCUUAAUCUAAAUGCUGUAAUUAAAAGCUUCGGGUUAAACACCACAUUGAUGAUGGAGAUUUAUAUCAGU